CGCCGAGAUGCUAGGGUUUGGACUGAAGAAGAAAAUUCCGAGAGCUGUGUGAUGACUCCUUUUUGGCAGUUUUCUGGGACUUAAACAGGACAAGGAGGAGAUUGGAGGCCAAAAGACAUCAAGAAUGCAAACCUACAACUUCAGACAAAGACUUAUGCCAGCCAUAUACCCCCAGGCAAUGGCACUCGAGGGAAACAGGGUGACAACUGGAUGUAGGAUGGGCGAAAGACUACAGAUGACACAAGGCAACUCAGAUAGUACUCGACAUUCAGGCAAUGAUGAGUCACCCCUCCUUAUCCGCAUUUAAUUUUACUUUGCAUCUACAAAUAUAUAAUAUUUUCUUCAUUUUCACCAUACCAGUUAGUCUCA